GAGGAAAAAAAAAAAAAAAAAGAGGAGCUCGAAUUCUGGAGAAAAAUUCUGCUGCCAACUAGAAUUUGAAAUUGUAAGCUCACUUUUUCGCCAAAACCCAUUAUUCAAAGCCUGUACAGGCUCAUUCUUUAAUGUUUAAAAUAGACCAGGGUCGUCUCUUCUUUAAUCGACAAUAAUCUUGGAAUCUGACUUUUGCUAUUUUCCCUCUUUUCUUCACAUUCUCUGUUUUCAAGUUUUAAAUUGUAACUUUUUCUACUAUUUUAAUCAAGUUAUUUGUUUAUUGUUAUAUUUCUUUUGGCCAAAAACAGUAUACCAUUUUGCAGGAAAGAAAACAAAAAGAAAGAAAUCACGAAAAGAAAACUCGGCGGAAACAGCUCGUUUUUGGCUUCGAGUUUUAGCUUCAAUGGAAGCGAAGCACAUUUUCCCUUGCAUUUUUAUUAUGGGUUUGGCUUUAUUUCUCGUAAAUGCAGACCCAGUAGAGGAUAAGCGAGCUUUGCUUGAUUUUGUCAACAAUUUGCCUCACUCUCGAUCGCUCAACUGGAACGAGAGCUCGCCAGUUUGCAGCUACUGGACUGGAGUCACUUGCAGCAAAGAUGGGUCUCGUGUAAUAUCAGUUAGAUUGCCUGGUGUUGGAUUUCAGGGCCCUAUUCCGCCAAACACUCUUGGUCGUCUCUCGGCGUUGCAGAUUUUGAGCCUUAGAUCCAAUCUUAUUAGCGGCCAUUUUCCCUAUGAUUUCUCUAAUCUGAAGAAUUUGUCUUUCCUUUAUCUUCAAUACAACAACCUAUCUGGGCCACUGCCUGCUGAUUUCUCUGUUUGGAAUAAUCUCACCAUUGUUAAUUUGUCCAACAAUAGAUUUAAUGGGAGUAUUCCUCGUUCCCUUUCUAACUUGACUCAUCUUGCAGUUUUGAAUCUCGCAAACAAUUCACUUUCUGGUGAGAUCCCUGAUUUUAAUUUGCCCAGUUUGCAACAGAUAAACUUGUCUAACAAUGAUCUCACUGGCAGUGUACCCAAGUCAUUUACAAGAUUCCCCAACUCUGUGUUUUCUGGUAACAAUAUUUCAUUUGAAACUUCUGCUCCUCGCGUUCCGCCUGUUCCUACUCCUAGUACGGCGCCUAAUCCGAAAUCCAAGAAUUCUAGAGAGCUUGGUGAAACAGCACUGCUAGGGAUUGUAAUUGCUGCAUGUGUUCUGGGGUUUGUGGCAUUUGCUUUCUUGAUACAUGUUUGUUGCUCAAGAAAGAAGGGAAGGAAUGAGUUCUCAGACAAGUUGCAGAAGGGAGAAAUGUCGCCUGAGAAAGUGGUUUCAAGGACUCAGGAUGCUAAUAAUAGAUUGGUUUUCUUUGAGGGAUGUAACUAUGCCUUUGAUUUGGAGGAUUUAUUGAGGGCUUCAGCUGAGGUAUUGGGAAAGGGUACAUUUGGCAUGGCUUAUAAAGCGAUACUGGAGGAUGCAACCGCAGUGGUGGUAAAGAGGUUGAAGGAAGUAAGCGUCGGGAAGCGGGAUUUUGAGCAACAGAUGGAGGUUGUUGGAAGUAUUAAGCACGAGAAUGUGGUUGAGCUUAGGGCUUACUACUAUUCCAAAGAUGAGAAGCUGAUGGUGUAUGAUUAUUACAGUCAGGGGAGUGUUUCUGCUAUGCUGCAUGGUAUGUUUCUUUCUCCAAUAUCCAUCAAUUUUAUGCUUGAAUGCGUUUUAAUUAUCCUUUUGCUUGAUUAUUGAUUGUGAUAUCAAAGUAGACUCCAAGUGGGCAAAGCUGUACGGUUUUGAAAAAAUGUGGCUAUAAGAAUAGUAAACUGUCAAUUGCCAAAGGAGGAUUCAUGCAGCCAUUCCCAAUUUGUAGCUAAGACACUGAUUGCAUUGAGAAAUGAGAUUGCUAAGAAAUGAAAUAGGGUUUCCUAUAAGGGCUUAAUAAAUUUAUGCAGUUAAUGUCUGAAGCAUGUCUACUUGAGUCUAGUAAAAUUGUGGCAAAUAUGGCCCAAUGCCCCAACUGCUCUGCCAUGGCAAAUUUCUACUACGCGUACUGAGUGGUAGAUGCUUUAUUAGUCAAAUCCCAUAUUUCAUUGCCUUCUGCACUUUAAUCGGUCAGUAACUCAGUAUCCACAGCGCAGAGCAUUCUCUGAUGUAUCUGUAAUUUUGCAGGUAAAAGAGGGGGAGAACGGAUUUCCCUAGAUUGGGAUACCAGAAUGAAAAUUGCUUUAGGUGCAGCAAGAGGGAUAGCACGUAUCCAUGCAGAGAAUGGUGGGAAAUUUGUCCAUGGGAACAUCAAAUCCUCAAACAUAUUUCUCAACUCCAGAAGGUAUGGCUGUGUGUCUGAUAUUGGUUUGUCAACUAUAAUGAGCCCACUAGCCCCACCUAUAUCUCGUGCUGCUGGUUAUCGAGCCCCAGAAGUGACAGACACCAGGAAAGCAGCACAGCCUUCAGACAUCUACAGCUUUGGCGUGGUGUUACUUGAGCUUCUAACCGGAAAGUCCCCUAUUCAUACUACCGGCGGUGAUGAGAUUAUCCACUUGGUGAAGUGGGUUCAUUCAGUAGUUCGUGAGGAGUGGACAGCUGAAGUUUUUGAUGUGGAGCUAAUGAGAUAUCCAAAUAUUGAAGAAGAGAUGGUGGAGAUGUUGCAGAUAGCUUUGUCUUGUGUAGUGAGGAUGCCAGAUCAAAGACCUAAAAUGCCAGAAGUAGUGAAAAUGAUAGAAAAUGUCCGACGAGUGGACACCGAAAAUCGUCCAUCUUCUGAAAACAGAUCUGAAAGUUCUACACCUCCACCUCCGGCUUCUGACAGAGAAUCCUGACACCGCAAAAUUCAGGGGGGAAAAAAAAGCCAUUUGUCUAUGUUUUGUUUUUUUUUUUUAAUCUUUUUUCCACCCAGACUGCUCGUUUAUUUUCAUCUCAAUCCGAGGAACAACUUUUCUUUUAUUCAUUUUUCUCAGAUUCAAGUUUAACGUUAAAAUUUAUUAAUUUAAAUAAAUUAUUCUGAUAAAAAUUU
rnacentral:misc_RNA from 1 species